GACAGAGGGUGCAAACGUUGCUCGGAAUUACUGGGCGUAAAGCGCGUGUAGGUGGUCUGGUAAGUCGGGUGUGAAAGCCCAGGGCUCAACCCUGGAAGUGCAUUCGAAACUGCCUGGCUAGAGUACUGAAGAGGAUCGCGGAAUUCCCGGUGUAGAGGUGAAAUUCGUAGAUAUCGGGAGGAACACCAGUGGCGAAGGCGGCGAUCUGGGCAGAUACUGACACUGAGACGCGAAAGCGUGGGAAGCAAACAGG
rnacentral:rRNA from 1 species